CCAUUAAGUACUCCGCCUGAGUAGUACGUACGCAAGUAUGAAACUUAAAGGAAUUGACGGGACUCCGCACAAGCGGUGGAUCAUGUUGUUUAAUUCGAAGAUACCCGAAAAACCUUACCAGGUCUUGACAUGUUUUUGCAAAAUGAUAGUAAUAUCGUGGAGGUUACCAGAAACACAGGUGGUGCAUGGUUGUCGUCAGCUCGUGUCGUGAGAUGUUAGGUUAAGUCCUAAAACGAGCGAAACCCUUAUCGUUAGUUGCCAGCACGUUAUGGUGGGGACUUUAACGAGACUGCCAAUGAUAAAUUGGAGGAAGGUGAGGAUCACGUCAAAUCAGCAUGCCCCUUAUGACCUGGGCUACAAACGUGAUACAAUGGCUGUUACAAAGGGUAGCUGAAGA
rnacentral:rRNA from 1 species